UACGUAGGGAGCAAGCGUUGUCCGGAAUCCUUGGGCGUAAAGCGCGCGUAGGUGGCCUCAUAAGUCCGCUGUGAAAGUCAAAGGCUCAACCUUUGAAAGCCGGUGGAUACUGUGAGGCUAGAGUACGGAAGAGGCGAGUGGAAUUCCUGGUGUAGCGGUGGAAUGCGCAGAUAUCAGGAGGAACACCAAUAGCGAAGGCAGCUCGCUGGGACGUUACUGACACUGAGGCGCGAAAGCGUGGGGAGCGAACAGG
rnacentral:rRNA from 1 species